GAUGCAGGGCAGAAGUUUAUCCCCGAGGAACUUAGCACAGUUGGCUCCCGCCCUCCCAGCCUUGCGGUCCUGGGCCCAAUCUCAGGGCUCUCUCUGCCCCGGGUACCCUGCAGCCUCCAGCGGGAGGGUCGCGAGACCCCAACUCGCCUCCGGCCCGCCCAGCGGAGAUGUUGUAUCAUGAUGUUGCCCAGGCUGGUCUUAACCUCCUGUCCUCAGGCAAUCCUCCCACCUAGCCCUCCCAAGGUACUAGGAUUAGAGGCAUGAGCUUCCACACCCAGACUUCAUUUUCUUGAUAAUGUCCUUUGGCUCAAAAAAGUUUUUAAUUUUGAUAAAGUCCACUUUUUUAGUUUGUUUCUAUGCUUUUAGUGUUAUAUCUAAAAAAUUAUUGCCAUAUUAAAGGUGAGAUGAAGAUUUACUGGUUUCCUUCAUAGUUUUAGCUCUUUAGUACUUUGACCCAUUUUGAGUUAAUUUUGUAGUGGUAAGGGGUCUUGUUUUACCUUUUAAAUGUCUUGGCUUUUAUUUCAUUUGCAAGUACUCAUUUAAAUUAUUUUAAUUUUUUAAAAUCAAAGUUUAUUGUUUUUAAGCCUAGAAUCAAAUGCUAUUCUGCUUUUAGGCAUAUUUCAUCUGUUACUGUCAUAAGUAGACUUCCAGUCCAUUUGCAAAUGCCCAUUUUGUCACACAGAGAUUUUAACAUAUCCUAGGUACAUGUAGAAAGGCACUGUGUGUUUGUAUAUACAUGUGAACAUAUUUUGUAUACACUAAAGCUGUGCUUUGCUUCUCAGCCAACAGCUGCCAGCCUGUUGAAACUGAUAAGCCCUGACAAGGCAGCCUGAUUACUGAGGUUGGCUGAAAGCCAGACCAUCCCCUACAAUAACCACCAUCACCUUUCACCAAAGAGAGAGAGAGUAAAGCAAGCCCAGAUUUGUUUUCCUGAAGGCUGAUGGGAGCAGGAAGGGAAGAAGGAAAUUUAAAGAUGUUUCUUCCUUCACUUCCUUCCUUCCUUGUACUGUCCUUGCUCAACGUGAAUCUACAAUCACUGCCACUUGAAUGGAUGCAACUUAUGUUAAUAAAUUGCCAGGAUCAGAACUCCCACUGCAGCAUUUCCUUCUCCAUAGAACCACUGAACCAGAAAUGCAUUCUAGUGAUUUUUUUUUGUCGUUAACGAUGAUUAAUUAAACAAACUCGAGAUUUCACGAGAAAAAACAUAGAUGCCCAGAUUUAACAAACUCCUUAUCUUUUUUCGACUUAAACCCACGAAGCUUUGGGGAGCACUCUAGCCCCUGCUACUCACCCAUGCAAGCGGGGUGCGCGCUCGCGCACACACUCACUCACUCCAAGAUAGGGGCUUUCUAGGAAAAUACUUUGAGCUGCCAAUCCAAGAUUUUACUUAAAGAAUUGACUUGGUUCUCAAGUGACAGAUCUCUAAGUGCCAGAGCGGCAAAGUGCACCAGGCUGAUAAAGUGCAUGCCAAGACUCUCAGGUGGGAAUUCUUGUCACAGCCAAGAGGUUGCUGGCAUAGGCACCCGAGGCUGGCAGAGCCUAGCCUCUGAGUCUCCCUACACUCCUGGGCUUGCUUUCCUUUUUGAAGCUGCCUGCAGCUCAAAGAGGAGUUUGAACCAAGGGCACUUGCUUCGCGAUCCUCCUGGCAGAGCCACAGCUCAAGUUUCC
rnacentral:lncRNA from 1 species